GGAAAAAGGUUCCGGCCUCAGCCGGCGCACCUGGCGGAGGAGGAACCUCGCGACGCGCUCUCGGGCAUCGGUUUCUCCCAGCAAAGCUUGGAGGGUUUAGCUGCGCGGAGAGCUCAGCGAGCUCUUCUGUGUCUGUUUGGGGCGUGUGGGCUCCGGGAGCGUGAGGACCGGGAAGCUAGGAGGCUCCUUCCCUUCUGGCGGCUCCCUCACUGAGACCGGGCGGUUUGGUUGCGGGGGAAGUGGAGACGAGCCACCCUUGACCUUUGACUGCAAGAACUCACCUUGAGCAGGAUAGAGGCACGUGGACGGUGACCCUCGGGAUGCAAUAAAUGCUGAGACAGAUCAGCAAACAUUGAGUGGGCCAGACACUGUUCUGAAAAAUACGCAGUCGACUUUUGAACAGCACAGGCUUGAACUGCAUGCGGCCACUAAUACUCGGACUUCCUUCUGCCUCUGCCAUCCCUAAGACAGCAAGACCCACCCCUCCUGCUCCUCAGCCUACUCGAUGUGAUGAUGAUGCAGAGAUUCAGAGAGUCUAAGCAACUUUUCUAAAUCAUCUAGCUGGAAUUCAGUAACUGAGCCAGGAUCUACCCCAGGUCUGUCUGACUCCAAAGCCUGUGUCUUCCAGCACACACUGCUGCUGCCUGGGGAAUGUGGAUAUGAUGUCUGGAGCUCUAGCAACCAUAUCAGACCACAAGGAUGAAUGUACACCCCAGGAAUGGAAGAGAGGAAAGCCAGAAAAAGACUCGGUCCCUGAUGGCUGAAGAGCUACCAUACCUGCCCCUAGAUCUUCUAUUUCUGAUCAUCUUCUAUGCAAGGCCUGGAAUGUAAUCAUGGAUAGCCAUGGAUGAUCAGCUUUCAUCAUGUGGGCAUGGAACAAGAUGGAAGGAAGCUGGGGCCCUGAGUGACCUGUGGAGCAGAGGCCUUUGCCCACCCUGGGCUGCCUGAUUUCCCCUGGACUAUCAUGAGACAGAAGAAAAAGCUUCUAUCUUAUUUGAACCACUGUGUUUUGGGAACCUUGGACUAGAGCAGCCUAGCCUUCAUACACUAACAAGGUGUAUGUGUCUGCUCUUUGUUGCUUUUGUAGAUGGUUGUGUUAUAAGCCUGAAUGCAGAAGUUGUUCCCCAGACUACUGGAUUUGCUGCCUUUUAAAACAGGUUUAUUGAACUAUAAUUGACAUACAAUGAACUGCAUAUAGGUAAAGUGUACAAUUUGAUAAGUACACUUUUUGAGCAAAUCCACCCUUUGUUCUGGAAGAAGACACUCUAUAGUCUCAGGCUGUUUCUUUACCAACAUCAACAAGCUAGUCUUAAACAGAGGAACCUCAGUGCCUCACUUUCAAGACAAUCAAGAUUAUUUCCCAACAUUCCACUAGUAGAGGGUCAGAAACAGAGUUAAAAGUUCUCAGACUAGAGGUAGAAUUGAAACCCCAGCUGAGAAGUAUCAAGGUGCCCUCCUUCCCCAAAGCUACAUAUUCUUGUGUCAGGAUCUUACCAGGAAAUGGAAGGCACAUUUACACAGGGCAGCCCAAGAGACUGUUUCAAAGGAAACCAGCAAGAUGUGACAAAGCACCCCAAGACUAGCGACACUGGGAGACCUUCUCACUUGACUUAAAAGGCUGGGGCAGGAGAGUUACAGGACCCAGUAUUAGCUGUAGCCAAAGCCUGGGCAGGGCCACCUAACAUGAGCUGCACCCUUCUGUAGAGCAGCACAGACCUUGUGCAUCUGAGGCCCAGCAGGAUGGGGCCUUGCUCAUCCUUCCCUUGCAGUUCUUGCUAAUGCUUCCUGUUGCCUGAACCCAGCUGGAAGCCAGAGGGCAAGGGAAAUCAAUUGAGACAGAUAAUGGAGGUAAUCCCCUGGGCACAGGGCAGCAUGGCAGAGGUAAGGAGUCUGUCUAGAGCCACAAAGGAAGAGGACUGAGUCCAGAGGUGAAAGCAGUCACGUAUCCCCAAAGACACCUGCUACACAUUUGGGCUUUGAUUUAUCAAUGAGAAGGCUUGAGGGACAGUGGGAAAAAUGAUGAGGAGUCAUUAGGUCCUUGUGGAAAUGGUGCCCUUGAAGGAUGAGCCUGUAAUCACUAGGUACACGUGGGUGGAUGAAUGCUGGUGAAACAGGUGGAGGGAAUGAAAGGACAGAGGCAGCACGAGAACACUGUAAGCAGAGCAGAAGUCCAUGCAAAAGCCAGAGAUGUGAGACAGCACGGGUACAUAUAGGGACCCGCAGGUGGUCUGGAGUGGCUUUGCUGUGGGUUGUGAUGAGAUAUCCACUGUGUUGGAGCUCUGGAACAAAAAGGAGGUCAUCUAAGCUGGUUGCUUCUGUUUUUUUCUUUUCUUUUUUUUCCGGAUGCAUUUCAAUUAGGUGAGGGGUACCAGGCAGAAACCCCUCCUGAAUAUAAACCCUCUGUCUUAUUGUACCAGUUAAAGAUGAACGAUGGCUCACUUCCUAUUGGGUACUAAGUUCAUUAUUUGGGUGACAGGAUCAAUAGAAGCCCAAACCUCAGCAUCAUGCAAUAUACCCAUGUGACAAACCUGUAUCCCCUAAAUCUAAAAUAAUAAUAAAAAAAGAUGUACCAUAGCUCUUAAUUGCUCUUCAAAUCACCCACACCAUUAGAGAAAGCUAUUUCCACCCCAAUCUGAAUUAAAGAAUUCUACAAUCUCCUACAGUCCGAAAGAGAGACUUCAGCUAAAGAGAAAGCUGGUGCUCCUCUUGCUAGCUGAGUGAAUUCUGAUCCUCUUUUUCAUUUUUAUUUUCUUGCUUGAACUCUGCUUUGUUAAAUCAAACACCAGCCCAAAACUGAGCCCAUGGAUCACCAUAUUGGCAGCCUUAUCCUAGAAUCUCAGGGCUGGAAAGAACUCCGAGUACAGCAUUCUCCAGUGUUGGGUGUCAACAGGAGCAGAGUUGGUCUCUUUCGAGAGCUUCCUGGAGAGUCUAUAAAAGCCUGGCUUUUGAACUCUUAUAUUUGGAGGCUGAGAUUCAGAAGGCCUGGGGUGGGGCUUGAGAAUAUAAAUUCUUUAAAAAAAUUUUUUUCUUUUCCUUAGAUAAAUCUUAGAAACCAAAGGGAAUUGAAUUCUUAAGAGGACUUGAAAAUGAUUCUAAUAUAGUCGGGUUAGGGGAAAUCUGGUCUUGAGCUUUUUCUUGGGAGAUGUGGUGAGUCCAAGGCAAGCCAGGCUUCAAUUCUGAAUCUACACUCUUCCCACACAUCUAUGUGGCCUCUGUGCCGAGUCUGAGUUUUAUGUUUUACAAAGAAAACUAGGAGAAAAACUGUUAUUCUUCUGAUUAACAGAAAAGUUGUCCAACUGGCUACACUUGAAUUAUAUCCCCUGAUUAUUAAACUCAGGCUUCUUUAGUUUUCAUUUAUUUUAUUUCAUUGCAUGGAGAUGUUUUAAAAGAGGAAGGCAAGGGGUGUGGGGGAAGGAUUCUGGGAUAGCGACCAUUCUCACCACAUGCAGAAGGCCAAUACUGCUUCCAGAAGGAGACACAAGGAAUCCUUCACUGAGUGAAAGUUUUUUUUCUUCCAGAGAAUAUCAGUAUUCCUACUUUAUAACAAGCCAGGAGCUUUUUCUGCUUCCUGAUUUAAAAAUUGAUUCCUGACUGCAUAGUUCUCACACAAUAGCUUCCUUCUUGCAGGGGCAGUGUGAUUGCCUGGAAUAUAAAUUCUUAGUGGGUUGACCAGGGAUCACGAGCAGUUAUUAUGUUCUCUGCUGCUCUUAACAUGUUGUGAUUCUCAAUAAAUAAUCCAGAGCCAAAGCAUGGUGUUUUGUUUUGCUUUGUCUCAGUGAGUUUUCCAAACUGUAUUUACUAUCUCAAAGUGAGAGCAUCGCAGUUUUCUGAGCCAACUGCAGCAAUUUUCCAGAUCUGGAGAGUAUUUUUGAAGAUUAUUUCUUUGGAGAUUUUCUCUCUUAUUUGGUUUGUUUCCUCUUUGAUAAUUUUUAUUAUUCAUAUGUUGAAUUUUUUGAGCAGAGCUUUAAUUUUCUUAUCUUUUCUCCUCCUUUUUUCCAUUUUUUUCUUUGCCACUUUUCUCCCCCUUCUGGGAUAUUUUCUCAAAUUUUUUCUUCUAAACUUUUAUCUUUUCUGUGAUUAUAAUUUUAAAUUCCAAAAUACCUUUUUUUGGAGAGGGGAGUGGAGGGAAGUGUUCUCUGACUGUUCCUUUUAUAUAGUAGCCUGUUCUUAUUUCAUGGAUGUAAUAUCUUUCCUCUUUCUUUUAUAGUCUGUUUUCCCCAAGUUACUUUUUUCCCUUGUUUGUUUAUUUGUGUCUCUGUAUUUCAUCUCGGAGCAUUCCUUAGGUGUUUGGUGAUUUCCUCCUUCUCCCUCUCUCUGCUCCCUGCAUUGUUAUAAUUAUCUCUGAGCUGACCUCCCAACUUAGGUCUUUCUCAUUUUCUAGUAAACUUGGCAUAAUCCUGUGAAACCCAUCUUUUUUAAGCCCCCAAUUCAACAUGUGAUUCUGUUGGUGAAAAGCCUUCCAUGGCUCCAUAUUUCCCACUUCAUCAGAACUUAACUUUGCCAUUUUUGACAUUUUCAGUCUCUGACCCCACUCAGGCUAGGCACCAUACCUCUUGCCUCAGAAUGUGGAUACUCUUGUGUGUUCAGAGUUGGAGAUUAGGAAAUAAUACUAUUAAAAGUAAUAGCAAUCGAUGAUAAAGCCUUCAUAUGCUUUAUUCACAGACAUUACUGACUUCUCCUGUUAGCUCUGUCGUGCUUACAUCAUGAUGCCCAUUUUUCAGGUAAAGAAAUAGUGGCUCAAACAAG
rnacentral:lncRNA from 1 species